rnacentral:rRNA from 1 species
AGAGUUUGAUCAUGGCUCAGAUUGAACGCUGGCGGCAGGCCUAACACAUGCAAGUCGAGCGGUAGCACAGAGAGCUUGCUCUCGGGUGACGAGCGGCGGACGGGUGAGUAAUGUCUGGGAAACUGCCUGAUGGAGGGGGAUAACUACUGGAAACGGUAGCUAAUACCGCAUAACGUCGCAAGACCAAAGUGGGGGACCUUCGGGCCUCAUGCCAUCAGAUGUGCCCAGAUGGGAUUAGCUAGUAGGUGGGGUAACGGCUCACCUAGGCGACGAUCCCUAGCUGGUCUGAGAGGAUGACCAGCCACACUGGAACUGAGACACGGUCCAGACUCCUACGGGAGGCAGCAGUGGGGAAUAUUGCACAAUGGGCGCAAGCCUGAUGCAGCCAUGCCGCGUGUGUGAAGAAGGCCUUCGGGUUGUAAAGCACUUUCAGCGGGGAGGAAGGCGGUGAGGUUAAUAACCUCAUCGAUUGACGUUACCCGCAGAAGAAGCACCGGCUAACUCCGUGCCAGCAGCCGCGGUAAUACGGAGGGUGCAAGCGUUAAUCGGAAUUACUGGGCGUAAAGCGCACGCAGGCGGUCUGUCAAGUCGGAUGUGAAAUCCCCGGGCUCAACCUGGGAACUGCAUUCGAAACUGGCAGGCUAGAGUCUUGUAGAGGGGGGUAGAAUUCCAGGUGUAGCGGUGAAAUGCGUAGAGAUCUGGAGGAAUACCGGUGGCGAAGGCGGCCCCCUGGACAAAGACUGACGCUCAGGUGCGAAAGCGUGGGGAGCAAACAGGAUUAGAUACCCUGGUAGUCCACGCUGUAAACGAUGUCGAUUUGGAGGUUGUGCCCUUGAGGCGUGGCUUCCGGAGCUAACGCGUUAAAUCGACCGCCUGGGGAGUACGGCCGCAAGGUUAAAACUCAAAUGAAUUGACGGGGGCCCGCACAAGCGGUGGAGCAUGUGGUUUAAUUCGAUGCAACGCGAAGAACCUUACCUGGUCUUGACAUCCACAGAACUUAGCAGAGAUGCUUUGGUGCCUUCGGGAACUGUGAGACAGGUGCUGCAUGGCUGUCGUCAGCUCGUGUUGUGAAAUGUUGGGUUAAGUCCCGCAACGAGCGCAACCCUUAUCCUUUGUUGCCAGCGGUUAGGCCGGGAACUCAAAGGAGACUGCCAGUGAUAAACUGGAGGAAGGUGGGGAUGACGUCAAGUCAUCAUGGCCCUUACGACCAGGGCUACACACGUGCUACAAUGGCAUAUACAAAGAGAAGCGACCUCGCGAGAGCAAGCGGACCUCAUAAAGUAUGUCGUAGUCCGGAUUGGAGUCUGCAACUCGACUCCAUGAAGUCGGAAUCGCUAGUAAUCGUAGAUCAGAAUGCUACGGUGAAUACGUUCCCGGGCCUUGUACACACCGCCCGUCACACCAUGGGAGUGGGUUGCAAAAGAAGUAGGUAGCUUAACCUUCGGGAGGGCGCUUACCACUUUGUGAUUCAUGACUGGGGUGAAGUCGUAACAAGGUAACCGUAGGGGAACCUGCGGUUG